rnacentral:rRNA from 1 species
UACGGAGGGGGCUAGCGUUGUUCGGAAUUACUGGGCGUAAAGCGUACGUAGGCGGCUUUGUAAGUUAGAGGUGAAAGCCCGGAGCUCAACUCCGGAAUUGCCUUUAAGACUGCAUCGCUUGAAUCAUGGAGAGGUUAGUGGAAUUCCGAGUGUAGAGGUGAAAUUCGUAGAUAUUCGGAAGAACACCAGUGGCGAAGGCGACUAACUGGACAUGUAUUGACGCUGAGGAGCGAAAGCGUGGGGAGCGAACAGG